GAUGAACGCUGGCGGCGUGCCUAAUACAUGCCAGUCGAGCGAACGGACGAGAAGCUUGCUUCUCUGAUGUUAGCGGCGGACGGGUGAGUAACACGUGGAUAACCUACCUAUAAGACUGGGAUAACUUCGGGAAACCGGAGCUAAUACCGGAUAAUAUUUUGAACCGCAUGGUUCAAAAGUGAAAGACGGUCUUGCUGUCACUUAUAGAUGGAUCCGCGCUGCAUUAGCUAGUUGGUAAGGUAACGGCUUACCAAGGCAACGAUGCAUAGCCGACCUGAGAGGGUGAUCGGCCACACUGGAACUGAGACACGGUCCAGACUCCUACGGGAGGCAGCAGUAGGGAAUCUUCCGCAAUGGGCGAAAGCCUGACGGAGCAACGCCGCGUGAGUGGUGAAGGUCUUCGGAUCGUAAAACUCUGUUAUUAGGGAAGAACAUAUGUGUAAGUAACUGUGCACAUCUUGACGGUACCGAAUCAGAAAGCCACGGCUAACUACGUG
rnacentral:rRNA from 1 species